GACGAACGCUGGCGGCGUGCUUAACACAUGCAAGUCGAACGGAAAGGCCCUGCUUUUGUGGGGUGCUCGAGUGGCGAACGGGUGAGUAACACAUGAGUAACCUGCCCUUGACUUUGGGAUAACUUCAGGAAACUGGGGCUAAUACCGGAUAGGAGCUCCUGCUGCAUGGUGGGGGUUGGAAAGUUUCGGCGGUUGGGGAUGGACUCGCGGCUUAUCAGCUUGUUGGUGGGGUAGUGGCUUACCAAGGCUUUGACGGGUAGCCGGCCUGAGAGGGUGACCGGCCACAUUGGGACUGAGAUACGGCCCAGACUCCUACGGGAGGCAGCAGUGGGGAAUAUUGCACAAUGGGCGGAAGCCUGAUGCAGCAACGCCGCGUGCGGGAUGACGGCCUUCGGGUUGUAAACCGCUUUCGCCUGUGACGAAGCGUGAGUGACGGUAAUGGGUAAAGAAGCAACGGCUAACUACGUG
rnacentral:rRNA from 1 species